GGUCGCACAGAGUCGGACACGACUGAAGCGACUCAGCAGCAGCAGCAUAUCUGUAUAACCACCAUCACAAUCAACAUACAGAACAGUUUCACCAUCACGAAGAUCCCUAACACUGCCACCUUUUUUAAUAUACACCCACCUCAUUCCCCUCCACCCACUCCCACUCAUACGCUGGCUGGUGGGAAUGUAAAGCUAUGACGUAAUUUUACAUAAUUAUGUAAAUGACACGAUUUACAUUAUAUGAUAUUUUUGUCAUAUUCAGAUUUCACCAGUCUGUGUGUACACAGUUAUAUGUCAUUUUAUCAUCAGGGUCUAUCAGUAUAACCACCAUCACAAUCAAGAUAGAGAACAGCUUCAUUAUCACAAAGAUCCCUGACAUUGCCACCUUCUGCAUACACACCCGCCUCGUUCCCCUCCAUCCAUUCCCAUGCACACCACGGCUGGUGGGCGUGUGAAAGGACAUAAUUAUGCCAGAAAAGUUUAGAAGUUUCUUUAAUGACUAAAAUGCAACAAUCAUACAACUCAGCAACUGAACUUAUGGGUAUUUAUCCCAGAAAAAUAAAAACUUAUGUGCCCACAACAACCUGUACAUGAAUGUUUAUAGCAGCUUUGUGUUUGACAGAUGAUGACUGGAAACAACUCAAGAUGUCCUUUAAUGGGUGAAUGGUUAAACUGGUAUACCCAUACCACAGAGUACUACUCAGCAAUAAAAAAGGAAUAUAUUCAACAACUGCAAAGAGUCUUAAGAGAAUUAAGCUGAGUGAAACAAUGCCAAUGUUGAGGUUAUAUACUAUGUGAUUUCAUUUAUAUAACAUUCUUGAAAUGGCAAAAACAUAGAAAUAAAGCCAGACUGGUGGUUGCCAGGGGUUAAGGAGGGAGUGAAGGUGGCUGGGAAGUGGUGUGAUUGUAAAAGGGCUACAUGAGGAAGCCUGCUGUGAUGGACCUUGAUUGUAUCAACGUCAAUAUCCUGGCUAUGAUUCUGGACCAUAGUUUUACAAGAUGCUACACUAGAGUAAUCUGGGUAAAACAAUCUCCUCAGAGGUUUUUCAUCAAAUCAACUUCUA
rnacentral:lncRNA from 1 species